rnacentral:rRNA from 1 species
AUUGAACGCUGGCGGCAGGCUUAACACAUGCAAGUCGAGCGGGGGAAGGUAGCUUGCUACCGGACCUAGCGGCGGACGGGUGAGUAAUGCUUAGGAAUCUGCCUAUUAGUGGGGGACGACAUCUCGAAAGGGAUGCUAAUACCGCAUACGUCCUACGGGAGAAAGCAGGGGAUCUUCGGACCUUGCGCUAAUAGAUGAGCCUAAGGCGGAUUGUCUAGUUGGUGGGGUAAAGGCCGACCAAGGCGACGAUCUGUAGCGGGUCUGAGAGGAUGAUCCGCCACACGGGGACUGAGACACGGCCCAGACUCCUACGGGAGGCAGCAGUGGGGAAUAUUGGACAAUGGGGGGAACCCUGAUCCAGCCAUGCCGCGUGUGUGAAGAAGGCCUUAUGGUUGUAAAGCACUUUAAGCGAGGAGGAGGCUACUUUAGUUAAUACCUAGAGAUAGUGGACGUUACUCGCAGAAUAAGCACCGGCUAACUCUGUGCCAGCCGCCGCAGUAA